rnacentral:lncRNA from 1 species
CGGGCAUCUUAACAUGCGAAUAAUAUUUUUAUUAAUAGUAAUAGUGGCAUGAUUUAUAAUUCAUGCAUAUCAGAUAGUGCCAUUGAAUCACAUAUCAUGAGUAUUGGAAUGUAAACAUAAUUUCACAUUUAUCAAUAUAUCACACCAACACAAUCAUAAAAUCACAAAUUGAUCAGUUCAGAAUCACUUACUUGGAUAUCAUCCAUUUUAACGAAUUUAGCAUUCCCCUUU